ACUCUGCGAACAAGGGAGUCUCCCCAAACUUUUAGCUACUGUUUACACAGAUCCUAAACGCGGUAAUACCUUGAAAAUGAAAAAAACCUGUGAUUGACGGUAGAACAAGCUCUGCCAAAAGAUUGCAUUUACAGAUGAGAUUUGUGACUCAAGGCUGAGAACGUAUGAAAAUCAUUCUUCAGUCUGUCUAUUAGUAAGACUUCUGGAGUGUUGGUUGCUCUGCCAGAUUGCAGAGCAAGUCAGUGAGUGCAUCUAUGCAGAUGACAGGUGCAUUUAUGCAGAUGACAGGUGCAUUUAUGCAGAUGACAAGUGUAUCUACUCAAAUGACAGGUGCAUUUAUGCAGAUGACAGGUGCAUUUGCCCAGACAGCAUGUGAUGACAGGUGAAUUGUCAAAGGCAUUUGUACAGAUAUCAGGUGUAUUCAUCCAGAUGGCAGGUGCGUUUAUGUAAAAAUGGGUUUAUUUAGAUGCCAGGUGCAUUUGUGGAGAACGAAAGUGCAUUUGUGUAGUGUAGUGCAGUUAGUGCAAUUAUACAGAUGACGUGUAUGUUAUGCAGAAAUCUUGUUCCUCUCUGGAGAUUAGAAUCAAAUGUGCAGAUAGAAAGUGUAUCAAUCCAGAUAGCAGGUGUAUUUAUAAAGAUAACAGGUGCAUUUAUGCAGAUGACAGGUGCAUUUAUGCAUAUGACAGGUGCAUUUAUACAGAUGACAGGUGCAUUUAUGCACACAGCAGGUGUUUUCUUGCAGAAAUCUUGUGUAUUUAUGCAGAUUUCAGGUGCAGUUAUGCUGGAGCAAAUAGUCAAAUUUGAAUCUGAUUGUUGAAAUAAAAUAUCAACAUUUGCAAAUCUAUGCAGGUGUAUCAAAAGCCUAAAUAGUGUUCUAAAACCCUUCCAUAGUCUGGACAAACCUGAAGAAAUCAUAAAAAGUUUGACCUUUUUGCAAAAAAUAUAAAGAAUCUUUUUUUUAACUUGAUUCAGCCGCUGAGCCUCAAUUUCCUGUAACAAUAGAACAAAGUUGAUCAGUUUACCUGCAAGUAUUUGAGAUUUGAAAAUUUUGUUUUAGGUUUGGUACUUCUUAAAGGAGGACAGACUAAAACCUAGUUCUAAAAUAAAACAUAAGAUUUUGUUUACUUGAGGAAAAUACUGAAAUAAAGCACAAGUUUUAGGUUUCAGUUGUAGAACGUGUUGCUUUCUAUUUUACUCUGUGUGUUCUCAGUUGUUGUUUGUGAACAAAAACAUACUUUUUGCUACUUCUCAUCAUCUGCUGAGAUCAGUGAUGACAUUCUAGCUGUGUAAAGGCAGAAACAAUCUCUCUGCAUGCUUGAUAACUUGUCAGAAAGCCAUUUUGUCUUCAGCAGGUGUUUGGGUCCUGCCUGCUGACCUUUGGGUGGAAUGAGUACGACAGAGAGGACGAGCCAAGAUAAAAAGGAGAUCAGGGGGAAUCCUCAUCAGUCUGACAGAUGAGAUCCUACCGUGGCUUUGAUGACAACCCCGCUGCACGGCUGAGGCAAAACGUGUCUCUAACUGGCUCCAACAGUUGUAAUAAAGCUAGUUUAGUGAGCCACCAGCACCACAGAGACCUUUUUCUGCAAGUCAGAACAUCAACAGACUUCUACGACAAAGACUUGAUCUCU